ACAUGCAAGUCGAACGAGACGAUUUAGAAGCUUGCUUUUAUUGAGUCGAGUGGCAAACGGGUGAGUAACGCGUAGACAACCUGCCGCAAAGAUGGGGACAACAGUCCGAAAGGGCUGCUAAUACCGAAUGUUGUAUCUCCUCCGCAUGGAAGAGAUAUUAAAGAUGGCCUCUACUUGUAAGCUAUCGCUUUGCGAUGGGUCUGCGUCUGAUUAGCUAGUUGGUGGGGCAACGGCCUACCAAGGCGACGAUCAGUAGCCGGUCUGAGAGGAUGAACGGCCACAUUGGAACUGAGACACGGUCCAGACUCCUACGGGAGGCAGCAGUGGGGAAUCUUCCGCAAUGGGCGAAAGCCUGACGGAGCAACGCCGCGUGAGUGAAGAAGGUCUUCGGAUCGUAAAGCUCUGUUGUCGGGGACGAAUGUUGAGACCUAGAACAUAGGUUUCAAAUGACGGUACCUGACGAGGAAGCCACGGCUAACUACGUG
rnacentral:rRNA from 1 species